rnacentral:tRNA from 1 species
GGGCCGGUAGAUCAGCUUGGAAGAUCGCCUCCUUGGCAUGGAGGAGGCCGUGGAUUCAAAUUCCACCCGGUCCACCA